rnacentral:rRNA from 1 species
AUUGAACGCUGGCGGCAUGCCUUACACAUGCAAGUCGAACGGUAACAGGUCUUCGGAUGCUGACGAGUGGCGAACGGGUGAGUAAUACAUCGGAACGUGCCUAGUAGUGGGGGAUAACUACUCGAAAGAGUAGCUAAUACCGCAUGAGAUCUACGGAUGAAAGCAGGGGACCUUCGGGCCUUGUGCUACUAGAGCGGCUGAUGGCAGAUUAGGUAGUUGGUGGGGUAAAGGCUUACCAAGCCUGCGAUCUGUAGCUGGUCUGAGAGGACGACCAGCCACACUGGGACUGAGACACGGCCCAGACUGCUACGGGAGGCAGCAGUGGGGAAUUUUGGACAAUGGGCGAAAGCCUGAUCCAGCAAUGCCGCGUGCAGGAUGAAGGCCCUCGGGUUGUAAACUGCUUUUGUACGGAACGAAAAGCCUGGGGCUAAUAUCCCCGGGUCAUGACGGUACCGUAAGAAUAAGCACCGGCUAACUACGUGCCAGCCGCCGCCGUAAAAC